rnacentral:tRNA from 1 species
GCGGCUGUGGUGAAAUUGGUAGACACAUCAGACUUAAAAUCUGAAGCCCGUUAGGGCGUGCCGGUUCGAUUCCGGCCAGCCGCACCA